rfam:Glycine soja cultivar W05 scaffold3430_16, whole genome shotgun sequence.
GGUCUAUUAGCUCAGUUGAUUAGAGUAUUGUGCUAAUAAUACGAAAGUUAUAGGUUUGAUUCUUGCUUAGACCA